GACAGAGGGUGCAAACGUUGUUCGGAAUUACUGGGCGUAAAGCGCGUGUAGGCGGCUAUGUAAGUCGGGCGUGAAAUCCCACGGCUCAACCGUGGAAGUGCACCCGAAACUGCGUAGCUAGAGUCCUGGAGAGGAAGGCGGAAUUCUCGGUGUAGAGGUGAAAUUCGUAGAUAUCGAGAGGAACACCGGUGGCGAAGGCGGCCUUCUGGACAGUGACUGACGCUGAGACGCGAAAGCGUGGGGA
rnacentral:rRNA from 1 species